rnacentral:rRNA from 1 species
UGGGGAAUAUUGCGCUAAUGCGCGAAAGCGUGACGCAGCGACGCCGCGUGGGGGAUGAAGGCCUUCGGGUCGUAAACCCCUUUCGCCAGGGACGAAGCGAGAGUGACGGUACCUGGAGAAGAAGUCCCGGCUAACUACGUGCCAGCAGCCGCGGUAACACGUAGGGGACGAGCGUUGUCCGGAUUCAUUGGGCGUAAAGCGCGCGUAGGCGGCCCGGAAAGUCGGAUGUGAAAUCCUGGGGCUCAACCCCAGGCCUGCACCCGAUACUCCCGGGCUGGAGGUAGGUAGGGGAGAUCGGAAUUCCUGGUGUAGCGGUGAAAUGCGCAGAUAUCAGGAGGAACACCGGUGGCGAAGGCGGAUCUCUGGGCCUUACCUGACGCUGAGGCGCGAAAGCUAGGGGAGCGAACAGG